CCUACGGUGUGCUGCAGUGGGGAAUAUUGGACAAUGGGCGAAAGCCUGAUCCAGCCAUGCCGCGUGUGUGAAGAAGGCCUUCGGGUUGUAAAGCACUUUCAGUGGGGAAGAAAGCCUUGGGGCUAAUACCCUCGAGGAAGGACAUCACCCACAGAAGAAGCACCGGCUAACUCCGUGCCAGCAGCCGCGGUAAUACGGAGGGUGCGAGCGUUAAUCGGAAUUACUGGGCGUAAAGCGCGCGUAGGCGGUCUGAUAAGCCGGUUGUGAAAGCCCCGGGCUCAACCUGGGAACGGCAUCCGGAACUGUCAGGCUAGAGUGCAGAAGAGGAAGGUAGAAUUCCCGGUGUAGCGGUGAAAUGCGUAGAGAUCGGGAGGAAUACCAGUGGCGAAGGCGGCCUUCUGGACUGACACUGACGCUGAGGUGCGAAAGCGUGGGUAGCAAACAGGAUUAGAUACCCCUGUAGUC
rnacentral:rRNA from 1 species